CGCGCGAGUACGUUGUCGUCGAGUGGUGGUUCUUUAUUCUAUGGAGUGGUUCUGAAAGCGCUGCGUUAGGGGCGACUGCAACCAGGCGUUGCGGCAAGUUACGGUGGGAACUUCUGUCCGUGCUGUGUGAUUGCGACGAGGACGACUGCCGCCAGCAGCGGCAUGUCGCCGAUUUCGUCUUUGCCGACAUCGAGCAAGUGCAGCGCCGGAAGUGUUGCGUUUUGCACUGCAUUUUCCUUGUGAUAUGGGAGAUCGCAACGCAGAGACGACCAGAUGCAUACGAAAGACUACCAGCGGAGAGUGACCUGUGCCAUAUUUCUCUUAACCUCUCAGGUAUUCAAGAAAUGGCAACAUCCAGAAGAAGACGCCAUCUUAUCCAGCACGUUAUGGGUACACUCUGGUGGCUCCCGCCCCUGCAUCCUACGACCACCGUGUCCUCACUAUGUUCACUAGGGAGUUCGAAGCCUUUGGAGGCUCCUGCCACUGCGUCCUGCCACCACCGUGUCCUGACUACGUCCACUAGGGAGUUGGCAGCCUUCGUGAUGAUGCCAAGCAGGCUGGAAGCUGACAGAACGAUCGAGGUUGCCUCGAAAUUUUACCCAAGCCGUGCCACACACUUGGGCCAGGCCUCUUGCAAACGACGUAUAACCAGGCUCAACGCAGGAUGUCGAGUGAGUCCGGAGAUCGAGGCAACCUGCUGUGCAACCAGCGUGCAACCUUUGGUGACCCUCAACAUGUUCCACCUAUUUCACAGCUGCACUCAGCUUCCACCUAUCCAAACCGCAUCACCAGCUGUGGUCACUCAUCGAACCAUGGAUGAAUGUUGGGGUGGAGUGAUUUGAAGAGACAUUUUUUUUGUCUCUUCAAAUCCUUAGCAAAUACUUGUGUUAUUAUAAUUAAUAUGUGUCUUUAGUGCCUAGUUUUUAAUGGUUCCUUUCUAUUAGAAUUCUCGCCAUCGAUUCCUGCUAUUAUAAUGUAUGUCUGUCUUUAUGCACAGUUUUUCAUAGUUCUUUUGUACUUGUCUAUGUAAUUGAUAGGUUCAUACUUCUUGUUAUACAGAAGGCUAAAAUGCAAACUUACGGCAUUUUUUUCUUCCUUUUGAUAAUCUACAGCACUGCAAAGUGUUCAAGAAAUGUAACCCAACGUGGGCUCUGGUGCAGGAAAAAUUUAAGAGCAAUAUAGAGUACUUAUUUCAAACACCCAUUAUUUUUGGAAAAGUAAAGAAUAUAGGAGCACAAAAAAGAAAAUAUUAAACUAGAGAAACAUGAGUUCCCCUCAUAAGUCUGAUAAUAAUGUGACUUCCCUUCACUGCAAAGACACCAGUAAUAUACUCGCAUACAAGGUUUGAAACAAGAAAGCUAUGAUGCCCUUGGCAUUUCUCAGUGCCUAUUUGUCACACUGACGAAUGUCAAAGGCAUCGUAGGUUUCAUGUACACAUUGGUUGUGUUACACUUUUGAGUAUUGCAUUUCUCAAACACAAAGGUUUACAGCAGUGCUUUAAAUAGCAAAUGCAUUUCCUAAUUUAUUAGUGCAAGAGGAACAGUACAGAUCAUGUAAAAAUUUUUUUACAGACUAUAUGUCCAUGGAUGCACGCUUCUGAUGACAUAGCAGUGACGUGGUCGUGGGAUGAAUGACUUUAUUUCAGAUUUAAAUAUUGGCUUCCAGGUCUGGGUUAGUCUCCUACACUGAAUAGUCUAGGUCAGAGCCCAUUUACUAGAGAAAGUGAAUUAAACUAGGAAUUAUAAACAUCAAAAGAUCUUGUUUAGGAAAUUAAUGUGACAAUCAGCAAGGUUCUUUGGGUAUUCAUUUCCAAAUUUGUAGGAUAUAUUUUAUGACUGGUUUCAUUAUUGUGAGAACAAAUAUUUGUUUAUUGUCACACUAGAGUUGGCUGCCCCCAUUUGUAUACAACCCCUUUACAGGCUAAAAAUUCAGUGUGUUACCCUAUUUACUCGCAUAAUGAUCGCACUUUAUUGUAAAGAAAAUUGACUCAAAUUCAGAGGUGCGAUCAUUACGCUGGGUAAAUUUCCCACAAAAAGAAAAAAAUAUAUCCUCUGGCAUUUGCUACGGGAUGACAACAGGUCAACAAAGAGGUGGCUGCCUCUGUAUGUACUGCGGGACACACACACACAAAAAAAAACAUGGUGGCCGGCAGAGCAAGCCGAACGCGCCAAACACGAUUUUUUUGUCUUUUCGUGAGUACAUUACGUGCAUUCAAACAGUUUCUUCCGUAUCAGUAAUGAAUAAUAUCGGCAAGUUUGCGGCAAUAACAUAGCCAUGUCCACUUUGAGGGGACAGAAACAGAUGGGCGCGCUUAGCUGCCUGUGACAUAGGAACACAUAACGGGCAUGCUGCGGAAACUGCGGCAUUUGUCUUCACCACUAUCCUAAUAUGGCACGUUUCCGCUAAGGGUGGGCGAAUAUCUUAGCUGCGUUACAAACGUCGGCGAAUGAAUAGGGUACACUUCUAACGUAUCACUGUAAACGUGGCUGCUAUCAUUGCCACUCGCGAUUUGUUGCGUGCCCACAAGUGCAGACGAGAAGAAACGAAAGACGCCUUUUUUGUUGUUUUUGUUGACCACAACCAUUACAAAGCCUACACAUAAUAAAGGCAAGUUUGGUUGUAGCUUUUUUUUUGUCAUAUAAGUGCAGAAAGUGAUGGAAGGAAUGAAAUGGGGCAUCUGCUUAAGAAUGUUUGGUGCGUGCAGACUGCUUGGUUUGUCUUGAAGAGUUGUUCUCAUAGCAGUUGACAGAUGGUAAGCGCGAUCAUUAUUAGCUAGACUUGGCACAUGACAUAUCGCUGCGGCAAGUUUGGGGUGCAAUCUUACACGAGAAAUAAAAAAAUCGAAUUUUGACAUCAGAAUUUAGGGGUGCGAUCAUUAUGCGAGUAAAUACGGUAUUAGGUUGUUUUUGGUUUUACGCACUCAAUGUUAAGGGAUGCAAAUGGUGACAUACAACAGAAUGCAAAAAUGACUAAUGAAUGCAAGCAGGGCGUGGGGCUUUUUAGGCAGAUGCAUGCGUGUGCUAUUUAUAAAGCUCCCCAUGGUAUGCCUGAAGGCAUUUUCUAACACUUUGGUAGAAAACACUGACACCCACUUAUUAAGGGGAAAUACUCCUCAAAACAACUUUUUUAUAUAUUUGUACUAGAGAUUUGAAUAUACUGUCAUUCAUAAAGUGUUUUAUUAGAUUUGAAUUGUCAUUGAUUUUUGUGUAGCUGCUGUUCUUUAGUUAUGGUCCUACACAGUGGCAAAAUAUUCUUGUGGGCACUUUCCUGUGUAUAAAAUUUUCAGAAAUAGCUUCAUGCUGUAUCUUAUUUAGCUAGUUAUAUACUGCAAAGUGAUGACACCUAUCGAAACGGCUUGUACAAUUACUGGAACUAUGCAAAAAAUAUUAGGCCACAUUAAAUAAUUUUACAGAUUGCACUUUCAAUGAGAUAUCAGCAUUCUGCAUAUCUUGAAUAGUAUGUAUGCCAAAUUUCGUUAGUAUAGGACAAUUAUAAGUGCAUAAGGUUAUUGUCAUGCUAUUGUGAGAAAAAGUUUUUGAAGUAUAUUCUAAUUUUUUUUCACAAUAGCAUGAGAAGUAUGCAAGAUUAGUAGGCAGGCCUGUCUGCCUGCCUACUAAUCUUGCAUACUUCUAGUAACUUUACAUGCUGUUUGAAUAGAUAUUGGCACUUUGCAGUCUACAAAGAGCUGAGUUAGCUGCAGCACACUGCUUUUUGUGAAAAUUUAAUACACAAGAAAGUGCCUGCAAAUAUGACUAUGUAUUUUGCUGUUGUGUAGGACAUAACUCGAGAAGCAGCUAAACAAAAACUAAUGGAAUAUAUAAAAUCUGCAUGAAGAACUCUACAAUUGGCUCUCUUUUCAAACCUCUAGUACAAAUAAUAAAAAUAUUUCGAGUAAUAUUCAAUCAGCAAAAUGUUCCCCUUGCUACAGUGACCUACAACAUAGCGACAAAAGUUUAAGGGAAGUCCUCUUGUCAAAGCGACUCUGGGCUGUCUUCCCAAGGGCUUCUGUUAAAGACUGCAUUUUCCUGCAUUUGUCAGGAGAGCAAUACAAAAAUGUUUGUGAAUGUGAAAAUGGUAUUGGCACACUAACAGAAAAAAAGACAGUUCUGUGAAAUGUAGACUUGAUUAUAACUUUGUUCGACAUUUACAUUCCGACUGCAUAUAUUUAUUUCGUGUUUUGUACUGAGUGUUUCAGCGGUGACUGCCGCUAAUUAUUGAACAUAACUGCUUCAUGACAGUGCGACUAACAGAAAUUUAUAGCAGUGGCAGGCAUUAGAAUUACAGUACUCAAUGACGUCUACUUUGUAAGAACUCAGACUAGCACCAGUUCUGAGAUACACAUACCCAAAAGGUAAUGAUCAAAUAGAUUUCUCUUUCACACAGAAUUGUCCCACAAGGCUUACAGAACUCAUUGUUUGUCAUGUACAAGCAGAU